rnacentral:rRNA from 1 species
AAAGUAGUAAGACCCCUGAAAGACGAUCAGGUUGAUAGGUUUGGAGUGGAAGCUUAGCAAUAAGUGGAGCGGACAAAUACUAAUCGGUCGAGGACUUAUCCAAA